AGGUCCUGUCUUCAGUUGCCUCUCAUUUGGAUGUUUAACUGCGUUGGUGGACCAGCCAAGCGAGAAGUCGCAGUCGGAGAAAUCAUGUGUGAUGACUUCGAAUGGAGAUGGACAGACCGAGCUGAACGCAGGACCAAAGGGGAGAGCUGCAUCAGGAGCCAAAGCCAAACGAGACAUGGAUGUUACUUUUUACUGUCAGUCCCAGUCGCACUCGUAGUCGGAGCUGGAAUAGAGGUAGCGAUUCCCCCACUCGCUUUUCCAGUGACAGUUGUACAAGAAAUACAAAUUUGCAAAAUAAGCACAGGGCCAGACCCGGCCAUUUUGAGAUAAAUGGCGACAUGCAAAAGGAAGUGUCAACUGAUUGCGCUGAGCUAGGCAGUCGUAAAAAACAGGACGACGACAACGAAUCGUCCUCGUCUCGAAUCCUGCGCGUGACGUAUUCGCCUUGUUGUGCGUGUGAUGAACCGUUCUGAUCUGGGGGAAACGGGGCAAUAAAACACAAUAAAAAGAAAUUAUGAAUAAAUAAUGUGCAAAGUAGCAAUAGCUCAGAACACAAAAAAUUGAAUGCAAAGCGGCGUCAUCUGUUUGUGAUUUAUAUAGUUUUUAAUAUUUGACUGGGAGACAUCCGCUGCGUCAUAGCCACCCGAAGACAGACAGAUAGACAGCCUGGCGACCCUGCUUUUUCCUACAUUUUCCGAGAACCCCCACAAUUUGAUAUUCAUGCGACGAAAAUCAGCCAAACAAAAUCAGCCCCCAUAGGCGAGCAUUUGUUCGCCAAUUUCAGAUGUGGUUCAACUCAGCCCUGCUCUAAAAUGCUCAGUCCCCGCCUUGAAAGGAUUCGCAGGCCAGCCAAAAAUUCUCAUUAGCAGCUGCUCAGUGACAAGAGAAGAAAAGAAGACCGCUUGAAAGUCGCUCUAAUGAAAUGUUUGCUCGCCACUCGUGUCACUCGCGCAUCCGUUUGUCCAAGCAGCAAGGAGGAAAUGGGUGGCAGCCGGAAGUGGCGUCGAAUGGAGCGGAAUCCUGCUUCCGGCCGAAAUUUGCGACUUGAUUAGCCUUAAUUAAAUUCCACCAGGUUGCUGCCAUUGUCAAUAAAUUGAGCCUUAUAAGCUUCUAUUCAGAA